rnacentral:lncRNA from 1 species
CCCUUGCGGCUUCUCCUUCGACCUGUAUCAGUAGGUCAGCUCACAGAUUGAAUAAUUUCUUGCUCAUUGGAUUCAGGGCUUCUUUAGACUGUGAAAAUGACAACUCUUCCUGAGACAAUAUUGAAAGUUGAGGAUCAGAUGAUGAACUGGGGAGUCAAAUAUUGUUUUUUAGCAAAAUAACUUAGCACUAACAUGGAUAAGAAAGUAACUUUGUCAUACACAUUUAAGAAAGAGAUAAGCUCUCUCUCUCUCUCUCACAGACACACAUAAAUAUAUAUGCCAUCGAACAAUAUUGGUCAUGUUUCAAUCUUGCNNNNNNNNNNNNNNNNNNAUAGCUAUAUAUAUAUAUAUGCCAUCGAACAAUAUUGGUCAUGUUUCAAUCUUGCCUCUUUGGAGGCAAAGUACAAAGUGAGUGAUGAAGAUGAGGUUGAGGGGAGAGAAAACAGCAAUAUCCUGAAAUUGCCUUUUCUUACUACACGACAAGAAAACAGAGAGCAAUAACAUUUAUUUAGAGAUGAGUAUUAGAAAAGACAAUAAAAUAGUUGAAAGACCUUCCCGUGAAUUCACAUCAACAUUGUCGUAAGAUAUAUGUGCAUGAGUGAAUUUCUUUGGCUUUACCAGUAUUUAGAUACUUCGUCAUCACGUUUUUGCCAAGUGAGCCAAACCGAUGGAUAUUUCAAAGGAGCAUGGCCUCAAAUUUAAUUUAAUCGGUCAAUAGUAUUUGUAAAAAAAAAUUUGACCAAAACGCAGAGCAAUAAUGAACCCCAACCAACUAAAAAAUGUAGAAAGAGUUUGGCAAAACUGCAGCAGUCCUUAAGCCUGAACUUUUGCCUAAAGUACGACAUUUAUAAUAGGAAUUUUUUUGACGAUAUGGUUAAGUUAAAAGUGCAGUGAAGUUUAGCUCAACACAUAGCAACCAUUGGUUCAAAUUUUGCCAAAAGUAUAGUAAGUAUAGUAAAUAACUUAGUCCAAAAUUCAGCAGCAGUAAAAGAAAAAAUACAACAACCCGGGGCUUAGAAUACAUGACAAAAUGGAGAAGCAAAGGGCAAAAAAUGUAGCAGUGAUUCGAGGUAACGAUAAACAUGCCAAACAGAAGUUAUUCUAGUAAGGUUGUUUCACUGUUAGCCUGAACAGAUUGUAGCAGAAAAAUGGUGAAAGUUCUAACCUGUCUCAUUCCAGCCUUGAGGCAGCUUUCCUAUCCCCAUCUGUUUACCUCAAGUCGACAGCUCCAAAAUGGAAGAGAACUCUGCAAUGUUAGUGCUAUCCUGACAGAGCAUUUGCUUCCAACAGCUUGCUCAAACAUGUCGGGCAGUUCCUAUGCUAAUGCAGUGAGCCUCAAGUCCAUCACUUGCAAUAAUAGAUACUAUAUCUUGGAAGCAUUUGACAAAGAAAUGUUAUGAUCAUCCUAGAGAGAAAU